UGGGGAAUCUUAGACAAUGGGCGCAAGCCUGAUCUAGCCAUGCCGCGUGAGUGACGAAGGUCUUAGGAUCGUAAAGCUCUUUCGCCAGAGAUGAUAAUGACAGUAUCUGGUAAAGAAACCCCGGCUAACUCCGUGCCACAGCCGCGGUAAUACGGAGGGG
rnacentral:rRNA from 1 species